AGCCAAUUCGGUUAAGAAUUCGAGGUGCCCACUCGAUUUCAAUUUUGUAUUGGAUUUUGGAUCCGUUAGUAUGGGGAAAACGACACUUUUUACACUUUAUUGUCCUAAAAUUCCAAAAUUGAACCAAAUAAAAUUCUGUGCGAGCUGUUUAUAGAUUUUUUUUAUGGGGAACAACUUUGUAGAACAUCGCGAAACGAUCUGAGCAGAACUGGCUUAGUUAUAAGUGGUUUAAGUCAAGUGGUUUUUCCAGGGUUAACCUCAGGAUUAAAGUAUAGCCUUUUUAUCAAAACGGUCACUAUGAUCAAAGAAACAAAACUGUCUGACAGGUGAAAAACUUGUUUUCAUUUGUUGGAAACACAAACUAAAUUCGUGUCGAAAUUGAGCCACGGUUAUCACAGCAGGAACUUAUGGAAAUGGAACAGAGUGCCAAUUUAGGAGCGGGUUGGCAGUAUGGCGGGAGAGGAGAUUCGUUUGAAACCAACCUGGGCGAAGGUUAGCCAAGACAACCGGUUCGCGAAUACCGUUGGGGGCAAACAGAUCAAACCAUCUCCACACAAUA